rnacentral:rRNA from 1 species
UACGUAGGGACCGAGCGUUGUCCGGAUUCAUUGGGCGUAAAGAGCUCGUAGGCGGCUGUUCAAGUCGAACGUGAAAACUCGGAGCUCAACUCCGAGCCUGCGUUCGAUACUGGACGGCUAGAGUCUGGUAGGGGGAUCUGGAAUUCCUGGUGUAGCGGUGGAAUGCGCAGAUAUCAGGAGGAACACCGGUGGCGAAGGCGCCACUCUGGGCCGGUACUGACGCUGAGGAGCGAAAGCGUGGGGAGCGAACAGG